UGCAGUCGAGCGGUAGAGAGAAGCUUGCUUCUCUUGAGAGCGGCGGACGGGUGAGUAAUGCCUAGGAAUCUGCCUGGUGGUGGGGGAUAACGUUCGGAAACGGACGCUAAUACCGCAUACGUCCUACGGGAGAAAGCGGGGGACCUUCGGGCCUCGCGCCAUUAGAUGAGCCUAGGUCGGAUUAGCUAGUUGGUGAGGUAAUGGCUCACCAAGGCUACGAUCCGUAACUGGUCUGAGAGGAUGAUCAGUCACACUGGAACUGAGACACGGUCCAGACUCCUACGGGAGGCAGCAGUGGGGAAUAUUGGACAAUGGGCGAAAGCCUGAUCCAGCCAUGCCGCGUGUGUGAAGAAGGUCUUCGGAUUGUAAAGCACUUUAAGUUGGGAGGAAGGGUAGUAACUUAAUACGUUGCUACUUUGACGUUACCGACAGAAUAAGCACCGGCUAACUUCGUGCCAGCAGCCGCGGUAAUACGAAGGGUGCAAGCGUUAAUCGGAAUUACUGGGCGUAAAGCGCGCGUAGGUGGUUCAGUAAGUUGAAUGUGAAAUCCCCGGGCUCAACCUGGGAACUGCAUCCAAAACUGCUGAGCUAGAGUACGGUAGAGGGUAGUGGAAUUUCCUGUGUAGCGGUGAAAUGCGUAGAUAUAGGAAGGAACACCAGUGGCGAAGGCGACUACCUGGACUGGUACUGACACUGAGGUGCGAAAGCGUGGGGAGCAAACAGGAUUAGAUACCCUGGUAGUCCACGCCGUAAACGAUGUCAACUAGCCGUUGGGAGUCUUGAACUCUUAGUGGCGCAGCUAACGCAUUAAGUUGACCGCCUGGGGAGUACGGCCGCAAGGUUAAAACUCAAAUGAAUUGACGGGGGCCCGCACAAGCGGUGGAGCAUGUGGUUUAAUUCGAAGCAACGCGAARACCCUUACCUGGCCUUGACAUGCUGAGAACUUUUCUAGAGAUAGAUUGGUGCCUUCGGGAACUC
rnacentral:rRNA from 2 species